UUCUGCUGAAGAACUACUUUGCGCCCAGUUGAGUUGCACUCGUUGCACAAUGACUUUCACGAGGUUAUAACAGAAGAGACCUAUGAACCAAUCAGGGUGGGAUUGUGAUCAGCAAUUACUUUAAGGUCUGGGCUAAAUGACUUGUUUUCAUCUUCAGACACAAGAAAUGAAGGGAAGAACCUGCACUCUAGAAAGCGGAUAAAUGAGACAUUACUCGAGGUCUAACCCAGAAGGUCCCCCCAUAACACAGUAAGGGCUUAGUUGAGUUACAAAGGACAAGACACAACUACAAAGCCCUGUGUAAUUAUGACCCCCAAUAUACUGAAGUGUUGCACCUCUGCCUUCCAGAACUGCCCCUGUGCUGUGUGCCGGAGGCUGUAGCAUUGUCAGGCCUAAGGGAGCCCUGUUCUAAAGCAAGUAUUGUUUCUUUUCUUCUUGUGCUGGGACGUCGAACCCUUUUCCUUCUUCCAAUCUAUGGGCACAACUUCAAAAAAUAUGUUGCAAUGUGUUUGGGAAAAAUAAAGAGGAUUCAUGGAAACGAACGUCCAUCUAAAUUCGCAUUUUUCAAUUUUUGACAAUACUUUCAACUCGAAAAAAUUUUGGAUUUGUGAAUGUAAACUUGAAAUUAUUGUACAGACGAUUCAAACACUAUUGUGACAUUUUAUAAUUACAGCAAUGAUCGAGUUUAAUUUUGAAUUUAUACCAAUGUCAAGUUUAUAUGACUUUCAAGGCCAUAAAAAUGAAUUUUACUAAAUGUACCCCUAACAGUUCUAAAAGAGCACGUGGGUCAUAAACACAGAGAAAUCAAAUCUACCUCCGUAAAAUGUUUAGGUUUUCACAUCAAUAUGGAGCAGAUGAAAGUUUUUUUCUUUUUCAAU